rnacentral:rRNA from 1 species
GAUGAACGCUGGCGGCGUGCCUAAUACAUUCAAGUCGAGCGAACAGACGAGGAGCUUGCUCCUCUGACGUUAGCGGCGGACGGGUGAGUAACACGUGGAUAACCUACCUAUAAGACUGGGAUAACUUCGGGAAACCGGAGCUAAUACCGGAUAACAUGUUGAACCGCAUGGUUCGACAGUGAAAGACGGUCUUGCUGUCACUUAUAGAUGGAUCCGCGCCGCAUUAGCUAGUUGGUAAGGUAACGGCUUACCAAGGCAACGAUGCGUAGCCGACCUGAGAGGGUGAUCGGCCACACUGGAACUGAGACACGGUCCAGACUCCUACGGGAGGCAGCAGUAGGGAAUCUUCCGCAAUGGGCGAAAGCCUGACGGAGCAACGCCGCGUGAGUGAAGAAGGUCUUCGGAUCGUAAAACUCUGUUAUUAGGGAAGAACAAAUGUGUAAGUAACUAUGCACAUCUUGACGGUACCUAAUCAGAAAGCCACGGCUAACUACGUG